rnacentral:misc_RNA from 1 species
AAGUCGUAACAAGGUAACCGUAGGUGAACCUGCGGUUGGAUCAUUAAUAAAAGAAGGACUUUAGAGUCCCCUUUAAACGCUAGUGCCUCGUAAAACAGGCCUAGUAAACCCAAUGUGAACUGUUUGUUGUACCUGGUAGGGAAACUUGCCAGUUCAAUUUAUUAAACCACGUUUUUAAACCAAGUCUUAUCGAAUGUAAAAAUUUGAAACAACUUUUGACAACGGAUCUCUUGGCUCUC